CUUAUAAAUCAUGAAUAAAUAUAAAAUACACAGACCGAAACUUGAGAUUUCUCAGAGAGCUUAAUUAAGGGAUUGAUUUUAUUAUUUACACUGAAUUAGAAACACAACCAUUUCUUCCCUUCAACUAUAACCAGAGAGCAUAUUUUACAGAGGAAAUUUGAGCUGAACAUCCCAGAAGAUCAACUAGCAGCAUAUGGAGAUAAGCCUGGACAGGAGCUCUAGGCUUUACUCCACAUUCACACUCUCCAGAGAGGACACACUCAACAACACAAGUGGAACUGCAUAUGCCAUGAGUCUUAAUAAAUAAAAGUCUGUCCUCCACACCUGCAAUGGGCUUCCAAGAAAAGAAAGGUGAUGGUGUCUACUAAAAAACUUCAGCGAGUUCACCGGGACUCUCAUGGAGCACAUAGUGGUCUAACCUCGUUUGAGAUGAUUUUUGGUUUCUCCUGGAUCUCUGGAUACAAUCAGUAAAGAAGGGUCAGCAGAAUAAAAGGACAGUGAGCUAGGGCCUAAAGACCCUAAGCAAAGAAAAAGACAUUGGAGGUGGGAGAUGCACUGGAUGGAAAAGCUGCUCAAGAUGGACGGCACUUCAGAAAGGGAAGGAGGCAAUUCCCAACAAAAAUGCUAACUGCCUGGGCCCAGGAAGCCAUGUUUAAGUCCUAAGUGUGUUUAGACCAGAGAGCCUCCAUGUCUUUUGUUUCACUUGUGUCCAUAGUCUUUUUUUUCAGUUUUCCAAGAAAUGCUACUUGAAACUAUAAAAAUAAUUCAAAUAUUUUAAGCUAAAUAUAUUCUCCUUGCUUUAGUUUCUCUUUUUUCUUAAUUUUUUGUGCCUGGAAGAAUAUAAUUAGUUCAACAUGGUUGCUUAGAGAGACAUUUUCCAGGUCCAAGAAGGCAUACUAUUAGACAUUUAUUCAAAAAUGGGCUCAGGGAAUAAGAAUCUCAAGUAAAUAAUUCAUUAUAUUUGAAAUAAAUGCAACUACAUUAUUGUACUCUUCUAAAAAAUACAAAUAAAUGCUCUUUUUGCAAAAUAUUUGUAGCAUCUGAUAUUUGUGGAAUAUUCUUAAC
rnacentral:lncRNA from 1 species